CCUGCGCGUCCGGGCUUAGGCGGCGCAUUGCAGCUGCCUGGCUGGUUGAGUGCCUCGGAGGCUGGGCUGGAAAGUUGCAGUGGUGCAGACUGAAAUUCGCGCUCAGGAAGACGCUGUGGAACGCGAUAUCAAAAGAGCCUGUCUGGAGUUGCCAAUGCACAGAGACUCAGUGGGUUCUAUUGGAAGCCUGCCCCAGGGCAGCUUUGAAAUAGUCGUCAAGGCCCAGGAAUUGCUGCUGAUUUGAUCUAGGAAGAACUAUUUCAAAGAACUUUACUGUGUGUGUUAUUGUUACCUAACAUUUAUUAUAGUCAAGCAUUUUCUUUAGCAAAAUGGGGAGAGGUGAUCCCACAGAAGUCUGUGACACGUGGCACCACGCAGCAGAUACGAAACAAGCUGCCUUAAAAAAUAAAGUCGUUAAAAGGGAUAGAA